UGUCCGACUCUGUUGCCUCCGGGGCGACCCUGCCUUCGGGCGGGGGCUCCGGGUGGACACUUCAAACUCUUGCGUAACUUUGCAGUCUGAGUAAACUUAAUUAAUAAAUUAAAACUUUUAACAACGGAUCUCUUGGUUCUGGCAUCGAUGAAGAACGCAGCGAAAUGCGAUAAGUAAUGUGAAUUGCAGAAUUCAGUGAAUCAUCGAAUCUUUGAACGCACAUUGCGCCCCCUGGUAUUCCGGGGGGCAUGCCUGUUCGAGCGUCAUUUCACCACUCAAGCCUCGCUUGGUAUUGGGCAACGCGGUCCGCCGCGUGCCUCAAAUCGUCCGGCUGGGUCUUCUGUCCCCUAAGCGUUGUGGAAACUAUUCGCUAAAGGGUGUUCGGGAGGCUACGCCGUAAAACAACCCCAUUUCUAAGGUUGACCUCGGAUCAGGUAGGGAUACCCGCUGAACUUAAGCAUAUCUAAGGGG
rnacentral:rRNA from 1 species